UACGAAGGGAGCUAGCGUUGUUCGGAAUCACUGGGCGUAAAAGCGCACGUAGGCGGAUGUGUCAGUCAGGGGGUGAAAUCUCACAGCUCAACUGUGAAACUGCCUUUGAUACUGCUGGUCUUGAGUCAGGGAGAGGUUGAUGGAAUUCCAGGUGUAGCGGUGAAAUGCGUAGAUAUCUGGAAGAACACCGGUGGCGAAGGCGGUCAACUGGCCCUGAACUGACGCUCAGGCACGAAAGACGUGGGGAUCGAAACAAGGACGUUAGUAUACCCUUGUCAUG
rnacentral:rRNA from 1 species